rnacentral:misc_RNA from 1 species
AUAUUCAUGUAAUCAUUACAUAACCAACAAAAAUCCCCCACCCUGAUAAUUACAUAAUAAAACAAUUGGAAUGAUUUGUUACCCCAACACAAGAAAGAGAGAACAUCCAAACUUCAAACAUAACAGGCCCAAAGGAAACAUCAAAUAAAUAGCAAAGUUACAGGUAUGAAAGAUAUGGAAAGGGAAAAUAUGAAAAUGCAGCUCACCUGUACCAAAG